rnacentral:misc_RNA from 1 species
GAUGAAGAACGCAGCGAAAUGCGAUACGUAAUGUGAAUUGCAGAAUUCAGUGAAUCAUCGAGUCUUUGAACGCACAUUGCGCCCCCUGGUAUUCCGGGGGGCAUGUCUGUCCGAGCGUCAUUGCUGCCCUCAAGCACGGCUUGUGUGUUGGGCCUCCGUCCUCCUCCCGGGGGACGGGCCCGAAAGGCAGCGGCGGCACCGCGUCCGGUCCUCGAGCGUAUGGGGCUUCGUCACCCGCUCUUGUAGGCCCGGCCGGCGCUUGCCGACACAUCAAUCUUUUUUCCAGGUUGACCUCGGAUCAGGUAGGGAUACCCGCUGAACUUAAGCAUAUCAAUAAGCGGAGG